GAAAAAAAGCAUUAUGCUUUUCUGUGGACAAAAACUUGUCUUUCCUUUGAAAUUAAGUAAAGGAAAUGUACAAUUUUAAUAAAUUUAAGAAAUGUUUUCAAGGUUGAAAAUUUCAAUUUCAUAAUUAAGAAAUGUAUGGAGGGGAAGGCAAGGAAUGAAUAACCAUGGAAUAAAAGGAGAGGCAUAGGGGAAGGAAAGAAGAAGGCUGAAAAGGAAGAAGGAGGGCAAAGGCAACAAGAUGGGAAAUGGUUCUAUGUAUGAAAAAUAGUAAGAAAGAAGAUUGACUGGACUGUAGCAGGCAUGGAAAGGAAAAGCCAGAUUGCUGUAUAUCAUAUGUUGGAGACUGAUGGGUGAUUAAAGGGGCAAAAGUCAACAAAGUAAAGCCAUGGAAAGGUGGGUAAGUAUUCU